rnacentral:rRNA from 1 species
GAUGAACGCUGGCGGCGUGCCUAAUACAUGCAAGUCGAGCGAACGGACGAGAAGCUUGCUUCUCUGAUGUUAGCGGCGGACGGGUGAGUAACACGUGGAUAACCUACCUAUAAGACUGGGAUAACUUCGGGAAACCGGAGCUAAUACCGGAUAAUAUUUUGAACCGCAUGGUUCAAAAGUGAAAGACGGUCUUGCUGUCACUUAUAGAUGGAUCCGCGCUGCAUUAGCUAGUUGGUAAGGUAACGGCUUACCAAGGCAACGAUGCAUAGCCGACCUGAGAGGGUCAUCGGCCACACUGGAACUGAGACACGGUCCAGACUCCUACGGGAGGCCGCAGUAGGGAAUCUUCCGCACAGGGCGAAAGCCUGACGGAGCAACGCCGCGUGAGUGAUGAAGGUCUUCGGAUCGUAAAACUCUGUUAUUAGGGAAGAACAUAUGUGUAAGUAACUGUGCACAUCUUGACGGUACCUAAUCAGAAAGCCACGGCUAACUACGUG